rnacentral:rRNA from 1 species
UACGAGGGGGGCAAAUGUUGUUCGGAAUCACUGGGCGUAAAGGGAGCGUAGGCGGGUUUCUAAGUCAGGUGUUUAAUCCCGGGGCCCAACCCCGGACAGGCACUUGAAACUGGGAAUCUUGAAUAGUGGAGAGGUCAGUGGAAUUGGGGGUGUAGCGGUGGAAUGCGUAGAGAUCCCCAAGAACACCAGUUGCGAAGGCGGCUGACUGGACACAUAUUACGCUGAGGCUCGAAAGCAUGGGGAGCAAA